GACGAACGCUGGCGGCGUGCCUAAUACAUGCAAGUCGAGCGGACAGAAGGGAGCUUGCUCCCGGAUGUUAGCGGCGGACGGGUGAGUAACACGUGGGUAACCUGCCUGUAAGACUGGGAUAACUCCGGGAAACCGGAGCUAAUACCGGAUAGUUCCUUGAACCGCAUGGUUCAAGGAUGAAAGACGGUUUCGGCUGUCACUUACAGAUGGACCCGCGGCGCAUUAGCUAGUUGGUGGGGUAAUGGCUCACCAAGGCGACGAUGCGUAGCCGACCUGAGAGGGUGAUCGGCCACACUGGGACUGAGACACGGCCCAGACUCCUACGGGAGGCAGCAGUAGGGAAUCUUCCGCAAUGGACGAAAGUCUGACGGAGCAACGCCGCGUGAGUGAUGAAGGUUUUCGGAUCGUAAAGCUCUGUUGUUAGGGAAGAACAAGUGCGAGAGUAACUGCUCGCACCUUGACGGUACCUAACCAGAAAGCCACGGCUAACUACGUGCC
rnacentral:rRNA from 1 species